rnacentral:rRNA from 1 species
AACGAACGCUGGCGGCAUGCCUAACACAUGCAAGUCGAACGAGACCUUCGGGUCUAGUGGCGCACGGGUGCGUAACGCGUGGGAACCUUCCCUUAGGUUCGGCCUAACUCCCCGAAAGGGGUGCUAAUACCGGAUCAUGUCUUCUGACCAAAGAUUUAUCGCCUUUGGAUGGGCCCGCGUUGGAUUAGCUAGUUUGUAGGGUAAAAACCUACCAAGGCGACGAUCCAUAGCUGGUCUGAGAGGAUGAUCCGCCACACUGGGACUGAGACACGGCCCAGACUCCUACGGGAGGCAGGAGUGGGGAAUAUUGGACAAUGGGCGAAAGCCUGAUCCAGCAAUGCCGCGUGAGUGAUGAAGGCCUUAGGGUUGUAAAGCUCGUUUACCCGGGAUGAUAAUGACAGUACCGGAAGAAUAAGCUCCGGCUAACUCCGUG